rnacentral:rRNA from 1 species
UAGUGGGAAAGGAAGUAGAACUGUUUAGACAGCUAGGAGGUUGGCUUAGAAGCAGCCACCCUUUAAAGAUAGCGUAAUAGCUCACUAGUUCAACGGUUUUGCGCCGAUGAUGUAACGGGGCUCAAGCAAAGUACCGAAGCUGCGGAUCCGCUUUUGCGGAUGGUAGGGGAGCAUUGAUGUCAGCUGCGAAGGUUGAUCGUGAGGUUGGCUGGAGCGGCAUCAAGUGAGAAUGUCGGCAUGAGUAACGAGAGGGUGGUGAAAACCCACCCCGCCGGAAGCCUAAGGUUUCCUCCGCAACGUCAGUCAACGGAGGGUUAGUCGGGCCUAAGGUGAGGCCGAAAGGCGUAAUCGAUGGACAGCAGGUUAAUAUUCCUGCACUGCCAUAAAAUCGCUAUUACUGAUGGAGGGACGGAGUUUGAUAGAUCGAGCCCAUUAUGGAUUUGGGUCCGGAAGACAAGACAGUCUGUGUAGGCAAAUCCGCACAGGCGUUUAUUCGAGUCGGCGGGAAGGCCCGUAAAAAGGUCAAUUCGGUUGCGUUAAGCUUCCAAGAAAAGCUUCUAAGGAGAUUUUAUGGUAUCCGUACCGCAAACCGCCACAGGUAGGCAGGUAGAGAAUACUAAGGCGAACGAGAGAACCGUGGUCGAGGAACUAGGCAAAUUACAUCCGUAACUUUGGGAAAAGGAUGCCCUACUUGUCAUUGAUGGGUAGGGGGCACAAAAAUGGCUCAAGCGACUGUUUAGCAAAAACACAGGUCUCUGCUUAACUCGUAAGAGGAGGUAUAGGGGCCGACGCCUGCCCAGUGCCCGUAAGUUAAAGCCGGGGGUGAUCAUCGUUUAGGCGAUGUGAGCUUUUGGUCGAAGCUCGGGUGAACGGCAGCAGUAACUAUAACUGUUCUAUGGUAGCGUAAUCCCUUGCCGGGUAAGUUCCGGCCCGCACGAAAGGCGUAACGACUUGAGCACUCUCUUAAUCACGGACUCGGUGAAAUUGAACUACCGGUGAAGAUGCCGGUUACUCGUUGUUGGACAGAAAGACCCCGUGGAGCUUUACUGUAGUCUGGUAUUGAUAAGCGAUACUAACUGUGUAGCGUAGGAGGGAGUCUGAGGCGUAAAACCCGAAGACAUCAAUGAAACACCUCUCUUUUAUUAUUGUGAGUCUAACUAUGCACCGUGAAUCCGGUGCGAGGACAAUGCUUGAUGGGCAGUUUAACUGGGGCGGUUUCCUGCUAAAAAGUAACGCAGGAGCCCAAAGGUUCCCUUAUCCCGGAUGGAAAUCGGGAUGUAAGCGUAAAGGUAUAUGGGAGCUUGACUGCAAGACCUACAAGUCGAGCAGGUACGAAAGUAGGGCUUAGUGAUCUUCCAAGUGCCUCAUGGUAGGCCUGGAACUUAUCGGAUAAAAGUUACCCCGGGGAUAACAGGCUAAUCCCGCCCGAGCGUUCACAGCGGCGGCGGGGUUUGGCACCUCGAUGUCGACUCGUCUUAUCCUGGAGCUGAAGCAGGUUCCAAGGGUUGGGCUGUUCGCCCAUUAAAAAGGCGCGUUAGUUGGGUUCAGAACGUCGUGAGACAGUUCGGUCCCUUUCCACAACGAGCGCAUGUGUUCUGAGGAGGGCUGCUCCUAGUACGAGAGGACCGGAGCGGACGAACCUCUAGUGUUCCAGUUGUCACGCCAGUGGCAUCGCUGGGUAGCUACGUUCGGUCUUGAUAAGUGCUGAAAGCAUCUAAGCACGAAGCAUACUCCAAGAUUAGAACACUUCCGCGUAAGCGGACGCACCUCCUGGGAGACGACCAGGUUGAUAGGCUGCAGGUGUAAGUACAGUAAUGUAUUCAGCUAAGCAGUACUAAUGUGUGUGCAACUUUUUAUA